rnacentral:rRNA from 1 species
CAGCAGUGGGGGAAUAUUGCACAAUGGGCGCAAGCCUGAUGCAGCCAUGCCGCGUGUAUGAAGAAGGCCUUCGGGUUGUAAAGUACUUUCAGCAGUGAGGAAGGCAGGUACGUUAAUAGCGUGCUUGUUUGACGUUAGCUGCAGAAGAAGCACCGGCUAACUCCGUGCCAGCAGCCGCGGUAAUACGGAGGGUGCGAGCGUUAAUCGGAAUUACUGGGCGUAAAGCGCAUGCAGGUGGUUUGUUAAGUCAGAUGUGAAAGCCCGGGGCUCAACCUCGGAAUUGCAUUUGAAACUGGCAGACUAGAGUACUGUAGAGGGGGGUAGGAAUUUCAGGUGUAGCGGUGAAAUGCGUAGAGAUCUGAAGGAAUACCGGUGGCGAAGGCGGCCCCCUGGACAGAUACUGACACUCAGAUGCGAAAGCGUGGGGAGCAAACAGGAUUAGAUACCCUGGUAG